rnacentral:rRNA from 1 species
AUUGAACGCUGGCGGCAUGCCUUACACAUGCAAGUCGAACGGCAGCACGGGAGCAAUCCUGGUGGCGAGUGGCGAACGGGUGAGUAAUGUAUCGGAACGUACCUUUCAGUGGGGGAUAACGUAGCGAAAGUUACGCUAAUACCGCAUAUUCUGUGAGCAGGAAAGCAGGGGAUCGCAAGACCUUGCGCUGAUUGAGCGGCCGAUGUCAGAUUAGCUAGUUGGUGAGGUAAAGGCUCACCAAGGCGACGAUCUGUAGCGGGUCUGAGAGGAUGAUCCGCCACACUGGAACUGAGACACGGUCCAGACUCCUACGGGAGGCAGCAGUGGGGAAUUUUGGACAAUGGGGGCAACCCUGAUCCAGCCAUGCCGCGUGAGUGAAGAAGG